UGACGUCAUAACAGUGACCAAUACAGGCGUAAGAUUAUGCAACGCAAGAAUGUAAUUCCGAGGAUGAUCUAGCUGUCGCGAAUCUGCAUAUUUGAAUGAUGCUUGCGCCAGACGGGUGAUGCCUCGACACGUUCCGCCAUCGGUCACGAACAAAGCAGGCACAGGAGAACUAAUAAACCCGUGCGACGGUUAAGUGCCCAGUGGCAGACUGGUCGUGAUUGAUGAUUUAUGGAUGAGAUGCAGUUUUUGAUUGUUGUGUGAUUAAAUAAUAGGAUAGCGGCGCGUGUGGCUCGCGUACGAUCGUUUUGUUUCCUUUGCCCCUCGUUCGAUCAUUGCUCUUCUUGUUGUGGCUGUGAAUGUGGUGUAACUUGAAUAAUGUAAACUAUAUUUAUUUAAUUACGGUGAACGGUUAACAGCGAGUGCCGUCCGAGAGACGGAUGUGUACUUUACACCGUUUUUAUUUUAUUACCCCUGUUUUGUUUUUGUUGACAGAGGAAUUAAUGUCCCCAAAUGACUUUAGAUAUUCAGUAAAAGGUUCCCAUAUGAGAUAGUGCUAGGCCUUGAACUUGAAGAUCUCUGCUGCAGGGAGUUCUGGACUCCUAUCUACUGGAUGAAUAUCGUUUGGGAUUGUUUUAGCAUGACAUAUGAGCUCGCUAAUGGAUUCUAUAUCGACUUUCGGUUGCUUCUGGUGCUAUUUUCAAAAGCCCACUCUAACUCUCUCAUAUCUACUACCAUAAUUGACAUCCUUUCCGGAAAUACAACCCACCGUAACAUUGUGUCCCCAGUCGCAAACACGCACGAUCGACAUACGAUACCACCUAGAGUGCCCCCAGAGUGUACGUAUCAUACCGUACGGGUUUGCCAAGAUCAAGGUAACCAUCGACUCUCUGAGACACUCAACGGUGUGGCGUGUCCAGCGGAGCUCGCUGGACGUGAACGUUCUUGCUGCAUUGUUGGCUUUUUGCUUUUCCGUCCCAUUUCCUGUCACUGCACCACCCUCUCGACGGGCCGUAGUGUAGUUGCAGCUUAAAAGUUUGGCGAAGCGAUAAAAGGGGGCGCCUACCCGUCAGACAAGAUAGAAUUGACACACCGUCCACGUAUCACCAUGGUAACAAGGGCAGAGCAAGCGGCGGCUCCACAUCGAUGUGUGCUGCUACCUGUUGGUUGGAUCGGCAUACUUUACCGUCGAAUCUGGCCAGGUGUGUGCAACGGCAAAUGCGGAGACAGAUAGGUUGGUAACAGGUACGGAAGGAGCACGGAAGAAUGCAGUUUGUGUUGCUGCUGGAAUUGUUAGAGCUGGAUAUUUCCGGGUUCUGGCGAUCAACACGGAUUGCUCGAAAUUUAAGAAGCUUAAGAAAUGGUGCCAUGUUUAAAGUGGAUUUCAUUUCGGAGAGUCAACAACACUCUUUAGCAGAGAGUUGUCCAUGAACCGGAAUAAUCGCUAUAAUGCGAGGUGUUGCCUUCAUCGUCAACACAUUCACAAACCGUGUGCUGUAGUGGAUCGUACUAAAUUCUCGGCUUAGUGUCUUAAAACAGCUGUGCGACGAUAAAACAUAGUUUUACGAACUUGUUUAGAUCAUUCAAGACUGCUUCUACUACUCAACUCGUAGCGAAAGAGAUGCUAAACUCUACCCAUUAAUUAUUCAA